UCUCAGCCGAUGCCCCUGGUGGGAAAGAAGU
rnacentral:piRNA from 1 species